rnacentral:rRNA from 1 species
UACGUAGGGUGCGAGCGUUAAUCGGAAUUACUGGGCGUAAAGCGUGCGUAGGCGGUCCCGCAAGUCCGCUGUGAAAGCCCCGAGCUUAACUUGGGAACUGCAGUGGAAACUAUGGGACUUGAAUCCGGCAGAGGGGGGUGGAAUGGCCACGUGUAGCAGUGAAAUGCGUAGAGAUGUGGCGGAACACCGAUGGCGAAGGCAGCCCCCCUGGGCUGAGAUUGACGCUCAGGCACGAAAGCGUGGGGAGCAAACAGG